UACAGAGGGGGCAAGCGUUGUUCGGAAUUACUGGGCGUAAAGGGCGCGUAGGCGGCCUGUUAAGUCGAACGUGAAAUCCCCGGGCUCAACCCGGGAACUGCGUCCGAUACUGGCAGGCUUGAAUCCGGGAGAGGGAUGUGGAAUUCCAGGUGUAGCGGUGAAAUGCGUAGAUAUCUGGAGGAACACCGGUGGCGAAGGCGGCAUCCUGGACCGAUAUUGACGCUGAGGCGCGAAAGCCAGGGGAGCAAACGGG
rnacentral:rRNA from 1 species